rnacentral:tRNA from 1 species
GGAGGGGCCCUGGCUCAGUGGGAGAGCAUCUGCUGGGCACGCAGAAGGCGCCAGGUUCAAUCCCCAGCAUCUCCA